rnacentral:piRNA from 1 species
UCCUGUACUAGUUAAGGCCUGUCUGAAUU